CCUACGGGAGGCAGCAGUGGGGAAUCUUGCGCAAUGGGCGAAAGCCUGACGCAGCAACGCCGCGUGCGGGAAGAAGGCCCUCGGGUUGUAAACCGCUUUCAGCAGGAACGAAAAUGACGGUACUUGCAGAAGAAGGUGCGGCCAACUACGUGCCAGCAGCCGCGGUGACACGUAGGCACCAAGCGUUGUCCGGAUUUAUUGGGCGUAAAGAGCUCGUAGGCGGUUCGGUAAGUCGGGUGUGAAAACUUUGGGCUUAACCCAAAGCCUGCAUCUGAUACUGCUGUGACUAGAGUUCGGUAGGGGAGCGGGGAAUUCCUAGUGUAGCGGUGAAAUGCGCAGAUAUUAGGAGGAACACCGGUGGCGAAGGCGCCGCUCUGGGCCGAUACUGACGCUGAGGAGCGAAAGCGUGGGUAGCAAACAGGAUUAGAUACCCUGGUAGUCCACGCCGUAAACGUUGGGCACUAGGUGUGGGUUUCAACCAACGAAAUCCGCGCCGUCGCUAACGCAUUAAGUGCCCCGCCUGGGGAGUACGGCCGCAAGGUUAAAACUCAAAUGAAUUGACGG
rnacentral:rRNA from 1 species